CAUAAUCUCAUCUAUACAACAGAUUUCUGCAGACAUAAUGUGAGGAGCGUUUAUCGGAUCUUACACUGAUUGGCUGGAGGCUGCAGGAUGCUGACUAAUCAGAGCAGACGUGCGCUUCUCCUAGCAACAGCUGAGGAUGAAGGGAGAGAUGCAGAUGAACAGAUAAAUGUACCCACACUUCUGCCGAAUGCGUAUGCUUGGCUUGUACAGUGAACACCUGGGAUGAUCCCAUGACAGGAAGUGAUGUCAUCGAGGGUGAGAAUCUCCAGGACACACGGCCGAUGAUUCUGAAAUAAUGGACACACAGAAGAAAACAUGAAGAAACUGUAGAGUUACUGUAGAACACACUUUAUGUUUCAUCUUCUACAGAAGCCAGAAGUCUGGGCAUUUGACGCAGGUCAGAUUCAAACCCAGACCGCGAGAACAGCUGUGAUCAGCUUUGCUAAUCGCUCAGCCCGUGACAUUACCUGAAUGGGUCUGGAGAGCCCGAAGACUCCUGGAUCCAGGC